rnacentral:lncRNA from 1 species
AGGCUGGAGUGCAGUGGCACCAUCUCANNNNNNNNNNACUCUGUCUCCCAGGCUGGAGUGCAGUGGCACCAUCUCAGCUCACUGCAACCUCUGCCUCCCAGGUUCAAGCGAUUUUUCUGCCUCAGCCUCCCGAGUAGAGGGGACUACAAUAAAUGUCUACUUGUCCAUGGCAUUAAACUGUAAUAUCAUUGAUAUGGUUUGGCUGUGUCCUGACACAAAUCUCAUCUUGAAUUGUAGCUUCCAUAAUUCCCAUGUGUUGGGGGAGGGAUCUGGUGGGGGAUAAUUGAAUCAUGGGGGUGGUUUCCCCCAACAUUGAAAAUGUACAGUAUCUCUCUACUCACCCUUAUGUAAAUCAUGUAUGUACUUACCCUUAUGUAAGUAGAAAAUAUAUUUUUUCCUACUUAUCAACAUUGAAAAUGUACAAUAUCUCUCUACUCACCUUAUGUAUUUGGAACUCUUACUAGUUAAUUUGAAAAAAAGAUUUUUUAAAUAGAUAAAUGGUCCAAAGACAUGAACAGAUACUUCACAAAAAGACUUC